AAUAUGAUCACAAGGAAAACUCACUGCGAUCCUACGUAUCGUUAAAACUGAUACCGAAUUUGAGUAGCCAUCAUCAGCUGUCAGCAAUACUACACUACGCUAUGAUAUACUACGUUGCGUAUCACUAUAGAUCAUAUGUUGGAAUACUAGCUAAGAUCCGUUUAUUGAUAAUCAUGGGUAACUAUCCGUCUAUAUACAUAGAUACCCGUUGAUAACAACUAUUUAGAAAUAUUAUAAAUAGCGUUACGACUGAAUCUCGUUCCUCAGUUCAGUUAUGAGCUAUAUUAGUGAUAGGUAACAUUAUAACCCAGUUAAUACAAUACCUAUACUCAGUUGCUACUUAUACAACCUGUGUAUUGUAAUAUAAUA